ensembl:lncRNA
GUUCUGAAAAAAGUAUGUUACCAUGGGGACCAAACGCCCCAGUCUGACUCCCUUUGACACAUCUGAUCCAUCCAAUCAAAGCGCUUCCUACUUGAACCCUCAGCCAAUCAGCCAGAUCUGCCGUGAAACAAGUCCCAGACCUGGAACAGUGGCCCGGACAGACAGAGAGAGGGAGAGGAUCCAAGAGGAGGAAUGGAGGAGAGAAAGAGAAAUGGAGAGAUUUAAGGACAAGACAAGAAAUAGAAGAAAAGAGAUGGAACCCGGACCAAGAGAGAGGAACAGAGAGAAGGACUGUUCCCCCAUAUCCAGAGGGAGGGAGGAGGAAAGGGAAUGGAGAGAGAGAGAAAGGGGGGGAGCGGGAGAGAAACGUGCCAAUGGAAGACCUACUUCAAAUCUGGAGAUCAGGAACCACAGAGACAGAGAAAAGGAGAGAAAGAAGGGAGACACGUUUCCUACAAUUGUAAAACAUAGCAAAGAGAGAGACAGAAGAAUACGUGCAUUUGUGGAGGAAGAUGUGGGGAAAGAAGGAAUGAGACAAUUGGAGAGACCGAAGGGAACAGAGAUGGACGACUGGGAGAGAGAACGAGAAACAGCAGCAAAGAUACAGCGGUAUCGAGAUGCAGAGAGGGACUUCCAAAGGCAGAGGGAGAGGGAGAAGGAGAGAAUCAGGGCACAGGAGGACGGAGAGAGAAAUGGAGGAAAGCCCAUGGAGGAUAAGACUGUGAGACGGAGGGAGAGAGCGAGGGAAGCGGAGCCAGAUUUCAGAGAGAGGAGAAGAGAGAGGGACUCAAAGGCUAAUGACCUACGGAGCAAAAGAGAGAGGUAUAUGGAUGGAGAGAGAGAGAGGUCAAAACUCUGGCAGGGAGAAAGAGAAGUUAGAGGAAGAGAGGGAGAUUCACAGAACUAUUCCGAUAGAGAGGGCAGGGAUGGAAGGAGGGAAGGAAAUACAGAGGGACAGAGGGACACCAGGAGUGAGGGAGACAGUGAUGGAGAGAAGAGGAAAGAGAGAGUGAGAGAUGACAACAGAAGAGAACUGAAACAUCUGCACAGUAAAAGUGAGGGGGACACUGAGGGGAACGCAGCAUGGGAUAGAGUGAGGGAGAAAGAGAGACAGAAAUGGAGAGGGGGGGAGAUGUACAGAGAGAGGGAUGGAAGUAAAGAUGCUUAUAGACAGAGAGUGAGGGACGGGGGCAGGGACAUUGAUGGAGAGAGGGACAUGGACAGAUACAGAGAGAGGGACCGGAGAAAAGUGAGGGAAGUGGAGAGAGAGAGGGAUGGGGUGAGAGAAGGGGGCAGGCGAGAGAACGGACCAAGGGAAAGGAGGGAUCCGGAGAAAGAUAGGGAGAAAACACAGCCCAGUGUAACAGGAGAGAGAGGGAAGCGGAUGGAUGGAGAGAGAUUCAGAGAGAGGGAGAGAUAUUCCAAGGGGAAGGAUGAAGAGAGGAGGUGCAGGGAGAAGAGGGACAGAGAGACAGAUCCCAAAAGGGAGGGAGAAGCAGAUGGAGCUAGCCGAUCGCCGAGUGAGACAGCCCCAAGGGUGCCACCACGAGUCCAGAGCAGUGGAGAAUGGAGCAGUGACAUAGAGAGGGAAAGAAAAUGGAGAAGAGAAAGUCAUGAAGAAAAGGAGUCAGAGGGAGAUGUGGACAGGGGGCAGAGAGAGUGUAGUGAAAGAGAGAGACCAGAUAGAGUGAGGGGGAGAGAAGAAGGAAAGGAAGAGACGAUACCAAAGCGCCCUGAGCAGAGGAAGAUGUGGUUAGAACCACAGAAGGUCAGAUAUAACAAAGACUCCUCUUUAGAGGAUGAGGUUAUAGAGCGAGAAAGAGAGAGGCACACUAACAGAUGGAGAGAGAGAAGUGAAGAAGAGGACAGAUCCGUGGAACAAAGAAAGUCUAUAGAUGAAGAGAGAGAAGCUGAGAGGGAGGGAGGGAGGGAGAGGUAUUUGGAGAGAGGGUUAAAUGUAGAUGAAGACGAUGAGACAGAAGCCUGGAGGAGUUAUAGCAGAGGAAAGGAACACCAGACUUACAGUGAUGGAGAGAGAGAGGAACGCUGGCAGAGGGACAGUGAGAUGGAGAGAGAGAAUGUGACAGAUAACACAGAGGGUGACAGAGAGGAAGAAGGAAGAAGUGAUAGAUAUGCAGAGUGGGAAGGAGGGAGGGAUAGAAUCCCUUCCUCUGAGGACGGCUUUAUCACUGUGUCCAGUGGUGGAGAAGAGGAAUUUGAGGACUGCAAGGAAUUCGUGGAAGUUGGGUUCACUAAUCAUGUUACCAGGCAACCUGUUAGCUUUCAGGGGAGCGAGGGAGAGAUGGAGAGAGGUGGAGGGAGAAGACAUGAAAGAGAGAGAGAAAGAACAGAAGAGCGGACAGAGCAAAAAGAUGAUGCAUUGGAGGGAGAGGUGAAUGAUGGAAAGGGGAAGAAGCAACCCACCUAUGUAUUCUGUGUGAUUGGACAAACACUGCCCAGGUCAAAACCCAAUCAGACAGCAGUCCUGGGUAACAUGGAAUCAGAGCGGACCAAUCAAAAUCCUGGAUAUGGUCAUAGGGACAGUGGUGACAUCACACACCUCCCUCAUGAGAACCCUUCCAGAGAUGGAGACCAAGGGGCAGAGGAUGAGAGAAAAAUAGUGAGGGAUGAGAUCCACGUGCCAAAGGAGGAGAGAACAGACACAGAAGAGAGCUCCAUAGUGGACGUCAGUCACACUACCCUAGAACGAGAGACCGGAGAACGACUGAAGGUCAUGGAGGAGAACCCAUACGCUGAGAUAGAGCGAAGGAGGAACUCUGAGACCGAAAAACUCCUCAAAGAGUGGAGAGAAAGACAUGAAGAGUACACAGAAACAAGAGAGAGGGACCCAACAGACAGGAGGAGGACAGAACCAGAGAUAGGUCCAUCUUCACAUCCCAGUGGAGAGUACCACCACCAUGGGAUCCCUGUAGUUGACCAAGCCACCUCUGACCAGAAUAACCCUGUAGUGAUGAGCCCAGAGGAAGCUGUGGCCAUCCAAAUCUGUAUAAGGGGAGCCUGGAGCACAGAAGAGGAGGCCAAGCGCCACUCCCAGGCCUCACACAUGAAGUGGGCCAAGAACGUAUUGAGCGAGAUCCUUGGCAGCUCAGAGGAACCAGCCCUCGGCAACCCCCAGCCAGAGUCACAGGGAGGUCAAGAGGUCAGCCAGACUACGAGAGGGACCGAGAGGGUAGAAGAGGAGCUAGAGGAAGAAAAGGAUGAGACGCUAGAGGGGGGAGGAGCCUCAACCGUCUACGCCACGGUUCAGAAGAGGACGAAGCGUGGGAGGAAGUCGGUAGAGGAGAGGCUGGCUGAACGGGAGGCAGAGCCAGGGAAGGUGGAGGAUGAGAGAGGUACAGGGGAGAAACUAACAGACGUGCAUGCUGAUGCUUUCACAGCUAUGCUUGGUGAUGGUAAACCCAUAGACAUGCAUGCUGCCCUGACCCUACACAAUACUCAUGGUGACACACCUACAGACACACAGGGAGAGGAGGUGGAGGGUAACAAUGUGUGUGCGGACAGACAAACAGACAGUCAUAUACAUAUCCAGGUAGAGAUGGUGACAGAGGUUGAGGGUGAGAUGGAGAAAGGGGUCAAAGUUGGGGACGAGGUUCAUAUACUGGAUGCAGAGAAAGAAGUGAAUGCCCAGAAAGAGGAAGAUCUGUUUCUCUCUGUGAGCAACACCCUGUACAAACCAACCAGCUGCCCCAGCCUUAUAUACAACCCUGAUUCAGAACAACCUAUCACCACCACAGAGGAAAAGACUGAGGAAGAAGGGGAGAAAGAGAGAACUGUGGGAGAUGGGGAAGAGAAUAGUGUGGUAGAGAGGAAGCAGGAAAUGAGGAUAGAGGAUGGGACCGAGGACAGGGGGAAAGUGGGAGAGGCGACUGAGGAAAGGAAAGUGGAAAGGGAGGAGGAGAAGAGGGUAGGAGGGGAAGAGGAGAGGAUGAGGGAGGGCAAGGAAGAGAGUAAAAAAACGGGAGGAGGGGGGGUGAAGAGCACUUGUAGCUUCCAAGAUUUGGGCACCGAUGUUCGAUAUAGGAGGCUGGGGUUCCACAAGACAACAGAAAGAAGAAACGAGGAAGAAGAAGGAAGAGGAGAUGCAAGGGAUCGCAGAACAAGAAUAUUCCAGGUGUCAGAUGAUGAGGAGGUGAGCGUCAACUGGGGAGACGUGGACAUGAGGUGAGUAGAAGAGGGGGCACAUGUUAUGUUAGUGCACUGGGCUACCACAGUGACUGUUUUAUUACAUUCUCAUAUUUUAUUUUAUGUAUAGUCAGUCUUUUUAUGUCAUGCAUGCAAUAAGUACAGUUAGAUUUGUUGCCUGCCAUUUAACCCUAACAUUAGGCUCUGUUAGUUAGUGCCUGAGUUAAAAUGUUCACGAACCGGCUCAAAGUCUGUCCAAAAAGGGAGACAACGUGGAGAUUAGGGAUAACAAAAAUAAAUGUAUUAACUGCGGUAACGUAAAUACUAUUAACAAUGGUGUGUGUAAUCAGUAGUGUAAGUGAGUUGUUGCGUGCAUAAAUGUGAUAAUGAGGGGAGUUGAAAGGUGCCAAAGCAAACAAACAAAACAACCACAAAAAAAUGCUACUACCAAAAUCUAACAGUGUGUCUGCAUGGAUAGAGUUUUCUCAAUUAAUGGGGAAGAGGUGUAUUUAUCCCGGGACACACCCGGGCCCAGGUGUGUCCCAUGUCGCUGACGACCCGACCCGCUCAGCUCCGCUCGCCGAAAACAAGGAAACCAAGAGCAAAGAGAAAGAAUACGGCAGACAGAGUGGGAGGGUUGUCACAAAAUAUACCACACUACUUCUGUAGAUGAAGUGUGGACGGUUCCCUGUUCUGACUUCUGUCUCUCCCUCUGUCCAGGAAUGUCACGGAUACCAUCAGAAUGGAUAGGAGGAACUCCAAAUUUUACA